rnacentral:lncRNA from 1 species
GCACUUGGGCGGCGCCGGAUCGGACGCUUGGCACUCUGGGCGGCCCCCCGGCGGAGUGGUGGUCCCAGGAGAACCUCCGAGACGCUGCCAACUCCAUCCCCCAGGGAUUGUGAAGGGGGUUCCUUCUGGCUGUGACAGUGCUGAACGAGGCCAGAGAGUGCAGCUGCCUGGAGGCACAAGCCUCCUCCUGAUCCAGGGGGCUCCAGGGAGACCAAAGCAGCUGUCAAGAUGAGAGAAAUUGAAAAAGAAAAUGGAAAACUCUCCAGCCUGGCUCUCAGCUUCUGCAUCUCCAUGCAAGACCAGAGACCCACAUCACUCCCUCACUCCACCCAGUUCCACUCCAACAAUACCUGGGCCCUGCCAGGAGUGAGAAAACGGUCCUCUUCCUGUGGAUAGGUUGCUCUCUCCUCUUCCAGAUCAGGGUAUUCAUUGGUGCUGGGGAAUCCACAGCCCUCUUCGCCAAGCACCACUGGCUCAGAUGCAGCCCCAGAGCUGCCCCACUGGGCCUUCUUCAGUCUGUGGAGACUUUAGGCUGAGGAGAGAAGUGCCUGGAGGCCAGGCUUCCUGUCUCUCCAUUCUUCACCUUUCUGUUCUGAAAUACUUCCUGCUGGGACUCCAGGGAGUUGUCAUUUGACCUUUAACCCUCCACUCCCAAUUUUCUGCUCCCCUCAGACUGAAGCAUAUUGUCUAGGAACCCAGAGGUGACCCCAACCUCCCCACUGUCCUCCAGUUCUAUGGUUUGCUUUCCUGUCUUCAGUGAUCUAGUUUCCACUCCUUCCAGCUCAUGUGGCUCAUCCUCCUUACUGCAGUUCCCUCCUUCUUUCCAUAUUACAGAAAUCUGUUUCAAUCACACCAAAGCCCACAGCUUCCUUCCAAGCAACCUCCCCUCAAAGCUCCCCUCAAACCUCCCCUCAAAGCUGUCAACCCCUUCCUUAGCUCAAACUGUUCUGCCCCCAAAUCCUGCAUGACUCCCAGAACCCAGAUGUCUCCCUUCCUUACUCGUUGAUGAUGCUCUGACGCCUUCUUAGGUCCUCCAGGUGGUAAGUGACAGCCCUCACCCGGGCGGGGACUCCCCCAAGGCCCUGCUGCUGCAUUCCUUCCAAACAUGGCCUCCUCUUCUUUCUUCUCCAAAGCAUUUCAGGGGGUGGGAGCUGCUCAGGAGGAUACAGACCAAGCUGGGAGCAACCAGUGGCUCUCUGUGCCAGAGAAUGGGGAAAAAGAGCUAGAAAGAAGAACUGGCUCUCUCAAGGGAGCUUGGAUUGAACUAGGUAGGGAGUCUGGGGUCUUGGGAAGACCCCUGUGAUCUCGAAAACAUGAUGACUGAUUCAUAGAAAGGAAGGCCUGGUCAGUGCACUGGUUGGGGAAUAACAGAGGGAAGCGGUAAUAAGGAGAGCUUGGGACAGGACAGCAGUGGGUGCAAUUUUAACAGAGAAAUGUUAAACGGCAGAGGGUCUGUCUUACCAGCAUGGGUGGAAUGUGCUGCUCCUCCAGCCAAGUGGGGCUGUGAAGAACAAAAAGGGGGCUAUAAGUGCAGAGGGGACAUGUCCAUCCAUAUUGCUUCUUUAAUAAUCUCUCCCGACCUCCUUUCUGUCAUUAGGAGCUACAAUGUCCACCAGCCAGUGGGAAAUUAACCGCAGACUAGGGCCUAUUGCUAUAUGGGUUUAUGGUAGUUUAAUCCAGUUAAGACCACAUCCAGUUAGUUUCCAUUUUCUCCUCUACUCACGUGGGCCUUUGAUUAAGGUUCUUCCAGAAGACAUCUCCAUAACGCUGGGGCAUGGGUCUGAGGCUCUGGGAAGGCAACCUUGGGGGUGGAGAUCGGCUGACCACCCUGGAACACCUGAGGUGAGGACAAGGUAGGCUCGGGUCUGGCUCUUCCCUUACAGCAGUCUACUCAUCCCAAGGAUUCAGGGGCCAUCUUUCCAUGGGACUAUAAAGCUGCCCAGGUUCCCUCGGGCCAUGUCCUCUCUUAACCACUUUAGCUGAAGAAGGUGGUAAGGCCUCUGCUUUGAAAGGAAAUUGAAGCUGGGUUGAGGGUGGAGAUUGGCUAUAGUUUGACCCUCAGAUCUCACUGAGUUUAAGCUCUAUAUCGGGGAUGUCCAAUCUUUUGGCUUCCUGGGCCACA